UACGUAGGGUGCAAGCGUUAAUCGGAAUUGACUGGGCGUAAAGCGUGCGCAGGCGGUUUUGUAAGUCAGAUGUGAAAUCCCCGGGCUUAACCUGGGAACUGCGUUUGAAACUACAAGGCUAGAGUGUGGCAGAGGGGGGUGGAAUUCCACGUGUAGCAGUGAAAUGCGUAGAGAUGUGGAGGAACACCGAUGGCGAAGGCAGCCCCCUGGGUUAACACUGACGCUCAGGCACGAAAGCGUGGGGAGCAAACAGG
rnacentral:rRNA from 1 species